UGUUGCUGUGUUAAAUAUUUUUUUUUUUUCGAUAAUUUUUUGUACAUUAAUUAGGCCGUAAGUUUUUCUAAUUUCGAUUGUUUUACGUUUGUCAUUUCGGAGCCUGUUAUAACUGACUAUGCGGUAUGGCCUUUCCUCAUUGUUGAAGUACUGUGACCAAUAGUUGUUAAUUUUUGUGUAAUUCGGUCUCUUAUAAAGAAUUGUCUCAUUUGCAGUGAAUCUUACUACAUCUUCUUUUUUAUAACUAUAAUAUAACUUUCAUUUAAUUUCUGGCAAGAUUUGUACACAUUAGAGUGCUC
rnacentral:lncRNA from 1 species